GACAGCUCAGCUGGUAAAGCAUGAGAUUCUUAAUCUGAUGUUCAUGGGUUUGAGCCCCACGUUAGGCA